ensembl:snRNA U6 U6 spliceosomal RNA
GUGCUCACUUUGGCAGCACAUAUACUAAAAUUGGAACAAUACAGAGAAGAUUAGUAUGGCCUCUGCACAAGCAUGACAUGCAAAUUUUUGAAUUAUUCCAUAUUAAA